rnacentral:rRNA from 1 species
AGUGAACGCUGGCGGUAGGCCUAACACAUGCAAGUCGAACGGCGGCACAGUAAGAGCUUGCUCUUACGGGUGGCGAGUGGCGGACGGGUGAGGAAUACAUCGGAAUCUACUUUUUCGUGGGGGAUAACGUAGGGAAACUUACGCUAAUACCGCAUACGACCUACGGGUGAAAGCAGGGGAUCUUCGGACCUUGCGCGAUUGAAUGAGCCGAUGUCGGAUUAGCUAGUUGGCGGGGUAAAGGCCCACCAAGGCGACGAUCCGUAGCUGGUCUGAGAGGAUGAUCAGCCACACUGGAACUGAGACACGGUCCAGACUCCUACGGGAGGCAGCAGUGGGGAAUAUUGGACAAUGGGCGCAAGCCUGAUCCAGCCAUACCGCGUGGGUGAAGAAGGCCUUCGGGUUGUAAAGCCCUUUUGUUGGGAAAGAAAAGCAGCAGGUUAAUACCCCGCUGUUCUGACGGUACCCAAAGAAUAAGUACCGGCUAACUUCGUG